rnacentral:tRNA from 1 species
AGGCGUGUAGCUCAACUGGUAGAGCACCGGACUCUGACUCCGGGGGUUGUAGGUUCGAAUCCUCCCGCGCCUGCUA